UGUGUUCAGGAUUAUUUGCUCUGUCAGUAGUGCCCAGGGUGCCACUCCAUGACUAACCGAAACAUUUUAUUAUGUGACUCACUAAGAUGUUCAAUUCAUUAGUAUUUUCUGGUUACUCAAAGUGUACUCUAUGUACCUUUUUUUGACCUUUGAUUUUUAUUCUGAUGGAGAAGAUCAGAUUCCUUUUUUAUCUUAUAAAAAAUAAUUUUGAAACAAAGACUUAUUUUGAAGUAAGUCUUUUAACAUUAUCUCAGAUGCAUUUUAUUUUGUCCUUAAGUAAGACUUUUCAUUUUUACCUUUCAAAAUGCAAUUUUCAAAAUAUAUGCUUUUUUGAAACACUUAUUAUGUUACUGAAUAACCAGAGUAUUAAAUUCAAUGUACAGCAAAUUUUUACAAAGUCCCAGUAGUUCUUGCAGAGCUUUCUAUAAUAUCAGAUUUAUUUACCAUCAUGAAAUAUGUUUAUACAGUAUUAAGUAUAUUGUACUAUGAAGUUGGACCUGCACACUGAAAAAUUCCAAAAUACCUAUUAUGUUGUGCUUUUUGUGAUAUAUAUUCAUAUUAUUAUUUGUCAUAACAAGGUGAACUUUUUUAAAAUGGUAAACAUGUAUUAGUUACAUAAUCAGGAAAAAAGUCAUCUUUUAUAAUGAGAAAAAUUAGGUCAAGGAUAUUUCAGGUUUUAUCCAAUUAGAUUUCUUGUAAAGUUAUGUGUUUUCUUUUAUCUCAGUGCUUAUUUGCUUUGCAAGGAUGAAGGUUAGAGAUUCCUUUCAGUAGUUAAUGAAAGCUACAGACUUGUCUUGCCGAAAAAUGUACAUAAACACAUAAACUAUUUUCCAAGCAGUUUCACAGUGUUUGCAAAGUUCAGAUUGAAAACCCAGUUUUACAAAUCCCAUCUACAAAUUUGCAUUGUCAUUAAGAUAUAUUAAAAAUAAUUUUUCAAAGCAACAGCACAGAUGCACUUUAAAACUGUAGCUUAAAAAUAAAAAUUAGUAAUAUAACUUGUGUAAACCUACACAAAAGAUAAAAGAUAUCUUAUUGCAAAAAUAGGGCAACAUUUUGUUUUAAAGACCAAAUAGUGAAUUGAAUUUAAUGCAUAUCUUUAAAUCCUUAAUAGUAUCUCAAAUCUGGUUUAAAUCUGUCUCUCCUUAACGGAAUAGAAAGUGAAACAAAUCCAGAAAUCUUGUUCGAGUACAUGGUCUGUGCUAGUAAUCAUAUCUAAAGUGGUAAUGUUACCAUAUGCUGGGUACUGGGCUGAGUAAAUCACAUAUUUUAACUUAUUUAAACACUGCACUGUAUUGCCUGCUAGCGAUGUCAUUUUUUUAAAGUUGGAUGGUGAAUACAUGAGUUGUUUUUUAAACUCUUUUGGGAGCCUAAAAAAUUUGAAUUUUUUUUUUUCCCCCCCCAGACGGAGUCUCGCUCUCUUGCCAGGCUGGAGUGCAGUGACAUUAUCUUGGCUCACUGCAGCCUCUGAUUCCCUGGUUCAAGCAAUUCUCCUGCCUCAGCCUCCCGAGUAGCUGGGAUUACAGGCAUCCACCACCACGUCCAGCUAAUUUUUGUAUUUUUAGUAGAGACGGGGUUUCACCAUGUUGGCCAGGAUGGGAAAAUUUUUUAAAAGACAUUUAUUAAAAAAAAAUGUCUAUGCCUUAUCAAAGUUUAUAACUCAAGAAUUAAUGAGAUAAACAGUGGACAAAAAGUGUUGGCAGAUAACAUGCAUAAUUUUAAUUAAAAGUUAAGCAGUGAAAAAUAAACAUCUUUUUUUCUU
rnacentral:lncRNA from 1 species